UAAUAGAGAAAACAAAGCACCAUCACAAUAAACUAGCUAGUCAUAGAUAUCAGUAUUUACUAAGUAAUAAACGAUAUUGUGCAGCACGCAAGAUAGACAGCGCACAGUGUGCUUUGAGGCAGCAGCCAAGAAAGCUUUAGUCCGCGUCUGUGAAUACCCAUGUGUGCAUACCUGUGUGGAUCAGCAUGCUUGCAUUCCAAAGGUUUCUCCAUGUAAUGAUCUGCUAGGGAGUGUGGGGGGGCCACAGCCCCGUCCUCCAGGGUGUGAAGUGGGUAUGGAGGAGAUCAGAACACAAGAGACCAAGGAAGACCAACAGAGGGGCAGCCGCGCCACUGUCCCAGAAAGAGCUGAG
ensembl:lncRNA